UACGGAGGGGGCUAGCGUUGUUCGGAAUUACUGGGCGUAAAGCGCACGUAGGCGGGCUGCUAAGUCAGGGGUGAAAUCCUGAGGCUCAACCUCAGAAUUGCCUUUGAUACUGGCGGCCUCGAGUGCGGGAGAGGUGAGUGGAAUUCCCAGUGUAGAGGUGAAAUUCGUAGAUAUUGGGAAGAACACCAGUGGCGAAGGCGGCUCACUGGCCCGCAACUGACGCUGAGGUGCGAAAGCGUGGGGAGCAAACAGG
rnacentral:rRNA from 1 species